UAACACAUGCAAGUCGAGGGGCAGCAUUUUACUUUGCUUGCAAACUGAAGAUGGCGACCGGCGCACGGGUGAGUAACACGUAUCCAACCUGCCGAUAACUCCGGGAUAGCCUUUCGAAAGAAAGAUUAAUACCGGAUAGCAUACGAAUAUCGCAUGAUAUUUUUAUUAAAGAAUUUCGGUUAUCGAUGGGGAUGCGUUCCAUUAGUUUGUUGGCGGGGUAACGGCCCACCAAGACUACGAUGGAUAGGGGUUCUGAGAGGAAGGUCCCCCACAUUGGAACUGAGACACGGUCCAAACUCCUACGGGAGGCAGCAGAGAGGAAUAUUGGUCAAUGGGCGCGAGCCUGAACCAGCCAAGUAGCGUGAAGGAUGAAGGCUCUAUGGGUCGUAAACUUCUUUUAUAUGGGAAUAAAGUUUUCCACGUGUGGAAUUUUGUAUGUACCAUAUGAAUAAGGAUCGGCUAACUCCGUGCCAGCAGCCGCGGUAAUACGGAGGAUCCGAGCGUUAUCCGGAUUUAUUGGGUUUAAAGGGAGCGUACGUGGAUUGUUAAGUCAGUUGUGAAAGUUUGCGGCUCAACCGUAAAAUUGCAGUUGAAACUGGCAGUCUUGAGUACAGUAGAGGUGGGCGGAAUUCGUGGUGUAGCGGUGAAAUGCUUAGAUAUCACGAAGAACUCCGAUUGCGAAGGCAGCUCACUAGACUGUCACUGACACUGAUGCUCGAAAGUGUGGGUAUCAAACAGGAUUAGAUACCCUGGUAGUCCACACAGUAAACGAUGAAUACUCGCUGUUUGCGAUAUACAGUAAGCGGCCAAGCGAAAGCAUUAAGUAUUCCACCUGGGGAGUACGCCGGCAACGGUGAAACUCAAAGGAAUUGACGGGGGCCCGCACAAGCGGAGGAACAUGUGGUUUAAUUCGAUGAUACGCGAGGAACCUUACCCGGGCUUAAAUUGCAACAGAAUAUAUUGGAAACAGUAUAGCCGUAAGGCUGUUGUGAAGGUGCUGCAUGGUUGUCGUCAGCUCGUGCCGUGAGGUGUCGGCUUAAGUGCCAUAACGAGCGCAACCCUUAUCUUUAGUUACUAACAGGUCAUGCUGAGGACUCUAGAGAGACUGCCGUCGUAAGAUGUGAGGAAGGUGGGGAUGACGUCAAAUCAGCACGGCCCUUACGUCCGGGGCUACACACGUGUUACAAUGGGGGGUACAGAAGGCGGCUACCUGGUGACAGGAUGCUAAUCCCAAAAACCUCUCUCAGUUCGGAUCGAAGUCUGCAACCCGACUUCGUGAAGCUGGAUUCGCUAGUAAUCGCGCAUCAGCCAUGGCGCGGUGAAUACGUUCCCGGGCCUUGUACACACCGCCCGUCAAGCCAUGAAAGCCGGGGGUACCUGAAGUACGUAACCGCAAGGAGCGUCCUAGGGUAAAACUGGUAAUUGGGGCUAA
rnacentral:rRNA from 1 species